UUUUAUUUUAAGCCGUUGAAUAUGAUAGCAACCAACUUGCUCCUGAAGUAUCACCCACCCAGCAAACACUUGCACUGUCGACCGGUCACUGUUCAUCACAGCUACCGUACACAGCCCUUGGCGGAGGAAUCAGCGACGGACGCUUCACAGCCUCUGGAUCCUCUUGCCCCAUCCCUGCCACAGACUGUCAUCACUGAAGCUGAUGAUGAAGAAAUUCUCAGGGGAGUCCCUCUUCAGCUUUUCUGCUUCUUCAUUUACAAUAUUCCAAAUAGCACUAUACAAUCCCAAUAUAUAUUAAAAACAAUACAAUAUACCCUCAAUAUUCAUUCUUUUAAUAAGGCCUUACAGGGCAUGCGACAUUAAAGGAACACCGAUAUAGAACUGGAGUGCAUGAGAAUGGGUUAUGUAUGGAAUGUAGUGGAAAGGAAACAGUGGAGCAUCUGAGGGAUUGCAAUAUUUCCAAUAUUUUUUUGAAAUGGUACAGGUGAUAGAAAAAUAGAAAAAGGUAUUAUUGGGUGUAUUGCAAAAUAUAUUAGGAAGACUCAAGAAUAUUUAACAUACAGAGAUUUUAAAAGGUUAAGUGUUCACAGCAGUUUUAAUAGCCAAAUCUGAACAGUAGGUGGUGACAAUAAGUUUUGCUAGAAACUUGGUGACCAUUAACAGAACAGAAGAAGAAACAGGAGAGAAGAAGGGACGGUAGGUGUGGGACUUGGUAUUCGGUGUGCCGCUAUAGAGGGGAGUGCUCGGAAGACGCAUUUUGUCGGUGUCCUGCGGUGUUAAAGCCAGUUAUUUCAGGGGUUUUUGAGUCCAGUAUCACUACAUUUAAUUACACUCAAUCCAGAGAGUACUGUCUGUCGCAGAAUGCAGCUUUAGCAACCUUAGAGCAGGUGAGCAGUGCUCGGAACAUCAGCUUCCAGACCUG